UCGUGGUUUUUUGUCUACGCUUCGUCGGAUCAGAUCACCACAAACAAACCCUAUUUGAGGAAGAGUUGAAAUUAUGGAUCCGGUUGAUGCAGAAAUUGCAAAGACACAGGAAGAAAGGAAGAUUAUGGAGGCAGCCCUAGCGCCAAACUCCAUUACUUUUGAUACUGAGCUUUAUGAUGGGAGCAAUCGGUUUCAGGAUUAUAACAGGGAGAUUCCUGCUAAUGAUGAUGAAGAGAACGCUGAUGCCAUGGAUAAUGAGGUUGCUAGGAAAUUAGCUUCUUACACUGCCCCAAGGUCUCUCUUGAAUGAUAUGCCCAGAGGUGGAGAUGAUGAUGAAUCUUUGGGGUUUAAGAAAUCACAGAGGAUUAUCGACAGGGAGGAUGACUACAGAAGAAGAAGGUUGAAUCAGGUCAUCUCACCAGAAAGACACGAUGCUUUUGCAAAUGGUGACAAAACUCCAAAACCUGAAACAAGAACAUAUGCUGAUAUUAUGAGGGAAGCUGCUUUGAAAAGAGAGAAAGAGGAGACAUUGAAGGUGAUUGCUAGGAGGAAAAAGGAAGAGGAAGAGAACAAAGCAGCUGGAAAGGAAAGGGAAAGGGAACCAGCUGCUUCACAGCCAUCUCAAAAGAGAAGAAACAGAUGGGAUCAAAAUCAAGACAAUUCAGAUGCAAAGAAAGCAAAAAGUGGUUCUGAUUGGGAUAUGCCAGACUCAACUCCAGGGAUUGGAAGAUGGGAUGCUACUCCAACUCCGGGUAGAAUCGGCGAUGCCACUCCUUCUUUAUCCCGGAAAAACAGAUGGGAUGAAACUCCUACACCUGGUCGUUUGGCUGAUUCCGAUGCUACCCCUGCUGGUGGGGCCACUCCAGGGGCCACUCCAGCUGGAAUGGCAUGGGAUGCUACUCCAAAGCUCUCUGGCCUUGCUACCCCUACACCAAAACGCCAAAGAUCAAGAUGGGAUGAAACUCCAGCCACCAUGGGAAGUGCUACACCUGGCGGUGCUACACCCGCAGCCGCCUACACACCUGGCGUGACACCUGUCGGUGGGGUCGAACUCGCCACCCCAACUCCCGGAGCUAUAAAUCUCCGUGGCGCCAUCACACCUGAACAGUAUAACUUACUAAGAUGGGAGAAAGAUAUUGAAGACAGGAAUCGCCCUUUAACAGAUGAAGAACUUGACACCAUGUUUCCUCAAGAAGGCUACAAGAUUCUUGAACCUCCACCUUCUUAUGUCCCAAUCAGAACUCCUGCAAGAAAGCUUCUUGCCACCCCAACUCCUCUUGGAACACCUCUGUACUCGAUUCCUGAAGAGAACAGGGGACAACAUUUUGAUGUUCCAAAAGAAAUGCCAGGUGGGCUUCCGUUCAUGAAACCAGAAGAUUAUCAGUAUUUUGGCGCUUUGUUAAACGAAGAAGACGAAGAGGAACUCUCUCCAGAUGAACAGAAAGAGCGAAAGAUCAUGAAACUUCUUCUCAAGGUCAAAAAUGGAACUCCCCCUCAAAGGAAAACCGCUUUGAGGCAGCUCACUGAUAAAGCCCGUGAACUUGGUGCUGGACCUUUGUUCAACCGUAUUCUUCCUUUACUUAUGCAGCCUACUUUGGAAGAUCAAGAGAGACAUUUGCUUGUGAAAGUUAUUGAUAGAGUCCUUUACAAACUCGAUGAACUCGUUCGACCUUAUGUUCACAAGAUUCUUGUUGUGAUUGAACCUUUGUUGAUUGAUGAAGAUUAUUACGCGCGUGUUGAAGGUAGAGAAAUCAUCUCCAAUCUCAGUAAAGCAGCCGGUUUAGCCACCAUGAUUGCUGCAAUGCGUCCGGAUAUCGACAACAUCGAUGAAUAUGUCAGAAACACAACUGCUAGAGCUUUCAGUGUUGUUGCAUCAGCACUUGGCAUCCCUGCUUUGUUACCAUUCUUGAAGGCUGUUUGUCAGAGUAAGAAGUCAUGGCAAGCAAGACACACGGGUAUCAAGAUUGUUCAACAAAUCGCCAUUCUUAUCGGUUGUGCUGUUCUUCCCCACUUAAGGUCUCUAGUUGAGAUCAUAGAACAUGGUCUUAAUGAUGAAAAUCAGAAAGUCAGAACAAUUACUGCUUUGUCCUUAGCUGCUCUAGCCGAGGCUGCUGCUCCCUAUGGUAUUGAAAGCUUUGACUCGGUUCUUAAACCGUUAUGGAAGGGUAUCCGGUCCCACCGUGGUAAAGUCCUAGCUGCUUUCUUGAAGGCAAUUGGGUUUAUCAUCCCUCUAAUGGAUGCUAUUUACGCGAGUUACUACACAAAAGAAGUGAUGGUGAUUUUGAUUCGUGAGUUCCAGUCACCAGAUGAAGAAAUGAAAAAGAUUGUCCUAAAAGUGGUGAAACAGUGUGUGAGUACAGAAGGUGUUGAGGCUGAUUACAUUCGUAGCGAUAUCCUCCCGGAAUUCUUCCGGAACUUUUGGGUCAGACGAAUGGCAUUGGACAGAAGAAACUACAGACAGCUUGUUGACACGACAGUGGAAAUCGCAAACAAAGUUGGUGUUCCCGACAUUGUUGGACGAAUAGUUGAAGACUUGAAAGAUGAAAGCGAGCCUUACAGACGAAUGGUGAUGGAGACAAUUGAAAAAGUUGUAGCAAAUUUGGGUGCUUCCGACAUCGAUCCACGAUUAGAAGAGCUUUUGAUUGAUGGGAUUUUGUAUGCUUUUCAAGAGCAAACAAGCGAUGACGCGAAUGUAAUGCUUAACGGGUUUGGUGCGGUUGUGAACGCGCUUGGUCAACGAGUCAAACCUUAUCUCCCCCAAAUCUGUGGUACCAUAAAAUGGCGUCUAAACAACAAAAGCGCGAAAGUCAGACAACAAGCAGCCGAUUUAAUUUCAAGAAUCGCAGUUGUCAUGAAACAGUGUCAAGAAGAACAACUAAUGGGACAUCUUGGAGUCGUGUUAUAUGAAUAUUUAGGAGAAGAAUACCCUGAAGUUUUGGGGUCUAUCUUGGGCGCGUUAAAAGCAAUUGUGAAUGUUAUCGGUAUGACGAAAAUGACCCCCCCGAUAAAAGACCUUUUGCCACGUUUAACCCCUAUCUUGAAAAAUCGUCAUGAAAAGGUUCAAGAAAACUGUAUCGAUUUAGUCGGACGUAUCGCUGACCGUGGAGCCGAAUUUGUCCCCGCGAGAGAAUGGAUGCGGAUCUGCUUCGAGCUUCUGGAGAUGCUAAAAGCCCACAAAAAAGGAAUCCGUAGAGCCACAGUCAACACAUUCGGCUACAUCGCAAAAGCAAUCGGGCCACAAGACGUGUUAGCAACUCUACUCAACAAUCUCAAAGUCCAAGAGCGACAAAACCGCGUUUGCACCACUGUAGCAAUCGCAAUCGUGGCGGAAACAUGUUCGCCAUUUACGGUUCUCCCCGCGUUGAUGAACGAGUAUCGCGUCCCGGAAUUGAAUGUUCAGAAUGGUGUUUUGAAAUCGUUAUCUUUUCUUUUUGAAUAUAUCGGUGAAAUGGGGAAGGAUUACAUAUACGCGGUGACUCCAUUGCUUGAAGAUGCGUUGAUGGACCGGGAUCUUGUGCACAGACAGACGGCAGCAAGUGCGGUGAAGCACAUGGCGUUGGGGGUAGCGGGGUUGGGGUGUGAGGACGCGUUGGUCCAUUUGUUGAAUUAUGUGUGGCCGAAUAUAUUUGAGACGUCCCCUCAUGUGAUAAAUGCGGUGAUGGAGGCGAUCGAGGGGAUGAGGGUGGCGUUGGGGGCGGCGGUGGUGUUGAAUUACUGUUUGCAGGGGCUGUUUCAUCCGGCCAGGAAGGUGAGGGAGGUGUAUUGGAAGAUUUACAAUUCGUUGUAUAUUGGGGCUCAGGAUGCACUUGUCGCAGCUUAUCCUGUUUUGGAGGAUGAAGGGGAGAAUGUUUACAGUAGGCCCGAGUUGACCAUGUUUAUCUGAGUACCAGAAGCAUUGUUUGAAGGUGGAUCAUCAGUAGUUCUACAUGUCUUGUCAUCUUGAUGAUGAAGAGGUAAGGUAUGGUGUUUGUUUUGCGAGUGGUUAUUUAUCAUGAAGGAUCUUCCUCGUUGAUUCAAAAGUAAAAAAAUAUAUACACAGAAUAUUUGGCCGGCUAUGCAAUUGAUCAACGUUCAAACCUGGACAUGAAGUUUUGAAAUAAAGUAAAUGAAAGGUUCUGCAUGAAGAUUGAAGAUGUCUGCAAACUAAGAAGAUGACAGACAGAACAUGUAGUAUGCGAAUUAGACCCUAAAAUGUAUGCGGAUCUUUUAAAUAUAUGUAUUGGGCUAAAAGAAACUAUUUUUUGGGUAACAAAUAAUUAUUUAUAGUAUAAUUCUACAUGUUACAAAGAACUUAAAAACAUGUUUUUUUUUUGUUGAAUUUUGAUAUGUAAAAAUCAUUCUAUUAUUUAUUAUAUUUAUAUAA